GCAGUUGGUUCAGAAUGAAUGCGAGCCACAGAGGCUGUCUGCAUAAUGCUGCUGCCUGCCAAGCUGGUUUUGUCCUAGGCAGCUGCCUUUCUCUGAUUUUCCUUUUCCUAGAAGAGGCCUGGAUCAGAAUUCAGCGGGACAAAGCAGGCAGGGGCCAGCUGCCGGACAGACAGCUGGCCUAUAGCACUCUGCAGCAGACUCGGGAGAGGUGAAGGAGGAGAGCCAUGCGUCUGAAACACGACCCUGCUAAGUCGCACUGCUUCUUGACUGAUGGGAGUGCAGAUGCUGUUGUCAUGGACUCGCCAAGCACUGAAAGACCUGCAAAGGAGAUAUUUCAAAGAGCCUGGCCUCCUGCAUCAAUGACAAAGGGGACAACGAGCGAGAACUUUUGCACGUUGUCGUCGACUGCACUGGAGUAAGGGACUGUUCGCUCGCCUCUCAUUUCCUGACCUCAUUCAGAGACAGGGUUUAUG